CUUUAGUUUGAUCAUGGCUCAGGAUGAACGCUGGCGGCGUGCCUAAUACAUGCAAGUCGUAGCGAAUGGAUUAAGAGCUUGCUCUUAUGAAGUUAGCGGCGGACAGGUGAGUAACACGUGGGUAACCUGCCCAUAAGACUGGGAUAACUCCGGGAAACCGGGGCUAAUACCGGAUAACAUUUUGAACCGCAUGGUUCGAAAUUGAAAGGCGGCUUCGGCUGUCACUUAUGGAUGGACCCGCGUCGCAUUAGCUAGUUGGUGAGGUAACGGCUCACCAAGGCAACGAUGCGUAGCCGACCUGAGAGGGUGAUCGGCCACACUGGGACUGAGACACGGCCCAGACUCCUACGGGAGGCAGCAGUAGGGAAUCUUCCGCAAUGGACGAAAGUCUGACGGAGCAACGCCGCGUGAGUGAUGAAGGCUUUCGGGUCGUAAAACUCUGUUGUUAGGGAAGAACAAGUGCUAGUUGAAUAAGCUGGCACCUUGACGGUACCUAACCAGAAAGCCACGGCUAACUACGUGCCAGCAGCCGCGGUAAUACGUAGGUGGCAAGCGUUAUCCGGAAUUAUUGGGCGUAAAGCGCGCGCAGGUGGUUUCUUAAGUCUGAUGUGAAAGCCCACGGCUCAACCGUGGAGGGUCAUUGGAAACUGGGAGACUUGAGUGCAGAAGAGGAAAGUGGAAUUCCAUGUGUAGCGGUGAAAUGCGUAGAGAUAUGGAGGAACACCAGUGGCGAAGGCGACUUUCUGGUCUGUAACUGACACUGAGGCGCGAAAGCGUGGGGAGCAAACAGGAUUAGAUACCCCUGGUAGUCCA
rnacentral:rRNA from 1 species